rnacentral:rRNA from 1 species
UACGAAGGGGGCUAGCGUUGCUCGGAAUGACUGGGCGUAAAGGGUGCGUAGGCGGCGCGGUAAGUCGGGUGUGAAAUCUCGGAGCUUAACUCCGAGACUGCAUUCGAUACUGCCGUGCUUGAGGACUGGAGAGGAGACUGGAAUUUACGGUGUAGCGGUGAAAUGCGUAGAUAUCGUAAGGAAGACCAGUGGCGAAGGCGGGUCUCUGGACAGUUCCUGACGCUGAGGCACGAAGGUCAGGGGAGCAAACGGG